UGUGUGUGUACGUGGGUGUG
rnacentral:misc_RNA from 1 species